rnacentral:lncRNA from 1 species
GAUUUCAGACGUGUGCGCUUCCGUCGUCAAGUAUGAAAUUUGUAGUAAGGUAUAUGGUAAACUUUGUCAGCUGCUCACUUUGUGCCAUUAUUAUAUUUUGACCAUCUUAUUCUUUGUUAGAAAGCACACAUCUAUUGCUUUAUUCUAACUUAUUUUGCGCU